UACACAUGCAAGUCGAGCGGGGAAAAGUAGCUUGCUACUUAACCUAGCGGCGGACGGGUGAGUAAUGCUUAGGAAUCUGCCUAUUAGUGGGGGACAACAUCUCGAAAGGGAUGCUAAUACCGCAUACGUCCUACGGGAGAAAGCAGGGGACCUUCGGGCCUUGCGCUAAUAGAUGAGCCUAAGUCGGAUUAGCUAGUUGGUGGGGUAAAGGCCUACCAAGGCGACGAUCUGUAGCGGGUCUGAGAGGAUGAUCCGCCACACUGGGACUGAGACACGGCCCAGACUCCUACGGGAGGCAGCAGUGGGGAAUAUUGGACAAUGGGGGGAACCCUGAUCCAGCCAUGCCGCGUGUGUGAAGAAGGCCUUUUGGUUGUAAAGCACUUUAAGCGAGGAGGAGGCUACCGAGAUUAAUACUCUUGGAUAGUGGACGUUACUCGCAGAAUAAGCACCGGCUAACUCUGUGCCAGCAGCCGCGGUAAUACAGAGGGUGCAAGCGUUAAUCGGAUUUACUGGGCGUAAAGCGCGCGUAGGUGGCCAAUUAAGUCAAAUGUGAAAUCCCCGAGCUUAACUUGGGAAUUGCAUUCGAUACUGGUUGGCUAGAGUAUGGGAGAGGAUGGUAGAAUUCCAGGUGUAGCGGUGAAAUGCGUAGAGAUCUGGAGGAAUACCGAUGGCGAAGGCAGCCAUCUGGCCUAAUACUGACACUGAGGUGCGAAAGCAUGGGGAGCAAACAGGAUUAGAUACCCUGGUAGUCCAUGCCGUAAACGAUGUCUACUAGCCGUUGGGGCCUUUGAGGCUUUAGUGGCGCAGCUAACGCGAUAAGUAGACCGCCUGGGGAGUA
rnacentral:rRNA from 1 species